GUUGCUUUCCACAUCCACAGUAGUUUCACCACUUCUUGCAAAGUGAACUUUGCAUCCCAAUGACUGGAUGGCUCUCUUUAUGGCUGCAUUUUCCUUGCUGGCCCUCUUAGCCAAGGCUGUUGCAGAGCUACUGAUCUUCUUCUCAUUCUGUAAUUCUGCAGAUAAUGACUCCAUGGCUUUUGUGAUUUCUGUAGCCUUUCUUUCUGCCACUUCUUUUGCCUUCUGCAGUUCUGAAAAUUUUAUGGACACGUUCCUACAUUGAGCUUCAAGUUCCCCAGCUUGCGCUUCUGAGGGACAAGCCCAUCGAAGAUGGAAUUGUGGCCAAAGAGUUGGGGCUAAGGCUGCUGCUGGGGGCAACAGUGGACCACCAUGCUCAUGUGGAUCAUAAAAAAUGUUAUAGUGUGAAUGAGAUCUCCCUUCUAAAGAACGCAAAUCAGCCAAAUAAGCCCACAUGCAUCCACAAGCUUCAGAUACACCAACUUGCUGCCUCUCUUUUUCACUGUUGCAGAAGAAGUUACCGAAACGACAUGAAAUUACAGUGUCCAAUAAAUCCACCAAGAAAGCCGAGGAAAACUCAAAAGCAAAUGGAUACAUUCGCAGCAACUGUGAGACACAAUCAACCCACUGCAAAAAUAUGGGAGAAUAGUUGUUCUGUGCAUGAGAAGAACUAGGAGUUUGAGAUGUGAAUGAUCCUGAUGACUGGCGCAUAGGUGAAGGUGGAAAACUCCCAACAGAAGACUGACGGGAUAAUUCAAGAGGCAUAUUGCCAGUUCCAGAUACAGUUGGCAUUCCCACACGAUCUGCAAAUGGAUGUCCAAAUGCUAGCCAAUCCUUUUCAAUAAGUGCCUGAAACCCAGUGAAUGUUCGGUAGUAUGGGUCAAGCAACAAAUUAGCGAGUGAUACCAGCUGAGUAGUUCUAUCCCAUCCAUCACUGCAAUGUACAAGCACUGAUGCCGACUCCAAAGCAACACGUGCAGCAAUCCAAACUGAACCAGCCAAAACACUUUGAACAUGUAUCAG
rnacentral:misc_RNA from 1 species